AUGGAUGACAACGCCGACGCGACCGAUGCUCUGUUCACCGGCGAUGCCAUGAUGGUUUCCCCAGCACGCUCGACUGCCACCACCGUCGUACCCGCUCAUCCAUCCACUCUCAGGCGUAUGACAAUCAAGCAGCUGUAUGAUGGAUUCCUGGAGGACAUAGAGCGUUAUCCUAUUGUAGUUGACAGAGACACCGUCUCAUCAGUGAGUGUAUAUAUCAUAAAUGGUGACUAUGUUCAACUAUUUGGCAAACCUGCGAUGGAUGGCAAUUUCCUUCAGAUUAAAGCUUUCAAGAUCAGGGUAAUCAAAAACUACAAUGACAUCACGCAUCACUACUUGUAUACCAUUUACACUACAUUAGACAUUCAUAAGAGAAACGCUCUCAAGGCAAAAAUACAACCUGUCUCUAUUGCAUCAACUUUGUACCCAAAGGGUCCAUCAAUUACCCCUUCGGAGGUACCUUUGCAUUCAUCAACAAAGGACAAGACAUUUGCCAUCCUGUGCGACCCGGCCUACCGUGAUAUUCAACACGGCGUUAGCUUGAAGUUAAUCCGCAGUGCAUUGGACAUCAGCCAGGACGAAAUAAUGCAAGUCAUUACAGAGCAGAUCUACCUCGGGAUGAUAUACACUACUCUUGAUGACAACCACUUCAAGUCCUCCAUCUGA
rnacentral:rRNA from 1 species